rnacentral:rRNA from 1 species
GAUGAACGCUGGCGGCGUGCCUAAUACAUGCCAGUCGAGCGAACAGACGAGGAGCUUGCUCCUCUGACGUUAGCGGCGGACGGGUGAGUAACACGUGGAUAACCUACCUAUAAGACUGGGAUAACUUCGGGAAACCGGGGCUAAUACCGGAUAAUAUAUUGAACCGCAUGGUUCAAUAGUGAAAGACGUGUUUGCUGUCACUUAUAGAUGGAUCCGCGCCGCAUUAGCUAGUUGGUAAGGUAACGGCUUACCAAGGCAACGAUGCGUAGCCGACCUGAGAGGGUGAUCGGCCACACUGGAACUGAGACACGGUACAGACUCCUACGGGAGGCAGCAGUAGGGAAUCUUCCGCAAUGGGCGAAAGCUUGACGGAGCAACGCGGCGUGAGUGAUGAAGGUCUUCGGAUCGUAAAACUCUGUUAUUAGGGAAGAACAAAUGUGUAAGUAAAUAUGCACGUCUUGACGGCACCUAAUCAGAAAGCCACGGCUAACUACGUG